UACGUAGGGUGCGAGCGUUAAUCGGAAUUACUGGGCGUAAAGCGUGCGCAGGCGGUUUUGUAAGCCAGAUGUGAAAGCCCCGGGCUUAACCUGGGAAUGGCAUUUGGGACUGCAAGGCUUGAGUGCGGCAGAGGAGACUGGAAUCCUGGUGUAGCAGUGAAAUGCGUAGAUAUCAGGAGGAAUACCGAUGGCGAAGGCAGGUCUCUGGGCUGACACUGACGCUCAUGCACGAAAGCGUGGGGAGCGAACAA
rnacentral:rRNA from 1 species